GAAAUGCGAUAACUAGUGUGAAUUGCAGAAUUCCGUGAAUCAUCGAGUCUUUGAACGCACAUUGCGCCCCCUGGUAUUCCGGGGGGCAUGCCUGUCCGAGCGUCAUUGCUGCCCAUCAAGCACGGCUUGCGUGUUGGGUCGUCGUCCCCUCUCCGGGGGGGACGGGCCCCAAAGGCAGCGGCGGCACCGCGUCCGAUCCUCGAGCGUAUGGGGCUUUGUCACCCGCUCUGUAGGCCCGGCCGGCGCUUGCCGAACGCAAAUCAAUCUUUUUCCAGGUUGACCUCGGAUCAGGUAGGGAUACCCGCUGAACUUAAGC
rnacentral:misc_RNA from 1 species